AUUGAACGCUGGCGGCAGGCCUAACACAUGCAAGUCGAGCGAGCGGCGGACGGGUGAGUAAUGUCUGGGGACUGCCCGAUAGAGGGGGAUAACUACUGGAAACGGUGGCUAAUACCGCAUACUAUCGGAUAACCCAUAUGGGAUUAGCUAGUAGGUGGGGUAAAGGCUCACCUAGGCGACGAUCUCUAGCUGGUCUGAGAGGAUGAUCAGCCACAAUGGGAAUGAGACAGGGCCCGAACGCCUACGGAGGCAGCAGUGGGGAAUAGUGCAAAAUGGGCUCAAGCCUGAUGCAGCCAUGCCGCGUGUAUGAAGAAGGCCUUAGGGUUGUAAAGUACUUUCAGCGGUGAGGCGUUACCCGCAGAAGAAGCACCGGCUAACUCCGUGCCAGCAGCCGCGGUAAUUC
rnacentral:rRNA from 1 species